rnacentral:rRNA from 1 species
GACGAACGCUGGCGGCGUGCUUAACACAUGCAAGUCGAACGGAAAGGCCCUGCUUUUGUGGGGUGCUCGAGUGGCGAACGGGUGAGUAACACGUGAGUAACCUGCCCUUGACUUUGGGAUAACUUCAGGAAACUGGGGCUAAUACCGGAUAGGAGCUCCUGCUGCAUGGUGGGGGUUGGAAAGUUUCGGCGGUUGGGGAUGGACUCGCGGCUUAUCAGCUUGUUGGUGGGGUAGUGGCUUACCAAGGCUUUGACGGGUAGCCGGCCUGAGAGGGUGACCGGCCACAUUGGGACUGAGAUACGGCCCAGACUCCUACGGGAGGCAGCAGUGGGGAAUAUUGCACAAUGGGCGGAAGCCUGAUGCAGCAACGCCGCGUGCGGGAUGACGGCCUUCGGGUUGUAAACCGCUUUCGCCUGUGACGAAGCGUGAGUGGCGGUAAUGGGUAAAGAAGCACCGGCUAACUACGU